rnacentral:rRNA from 1 species
UCAACUAGUUGUUCGGUGAGGAGACUCAUUGAGUAACGCAGCUAACGCGUGAAGUUGACCGCCUGGGGAGUACGGCCGCAAGGUUAAAACUCAAAGGAAUUGACGGGGACCCGCACAAGCGGUGGAUGAUGUGGAUUAAUUCGAUGCAACGCGAAAAACCUUACCUACCCUUGACAUGCCAGGAACUUGCCAGAGAUGGCUUGGUGCUCGAAAGAGAGCCUGGACACAGGUGCUGCAUGGCUGUCGUCAG